UACGUAGGGUCCGAGCGUUGUCCGGAAUUAUUGGGCGUAAAGAGCUCGUAGGCGGUUUGUCGCGUCUGCUGUGAAAUCCCGAGGCUCAACCUCGGGCCUGCAGUGGGUACGGGCAGACUGGAGUGCGGUAGGGGAGAAUGGAAUUCCUGGUGUAGCGGUGGAAUGCGUAGAUAUCUGGAGGAACACCGGUGGCGAAGGCGGCGUUCUGGACUGCAACUGACACUGAGGAACGAAAGCCAGGGGAGCAAACGGG
rnacentral:rRNA from 1 species